CAAUAGCGUAUAUUAAAGUUGUUGCGGUUAAAAAGCUCGUAGUUGGAUUUCUGCUGAGAACGACCGGUCCGCCCUUUGGGUGUGUAUCUGGCUCUUUCUUGGCAUCUUCUUGGUGAACGUUGCUGCACUUGACUGUGUGGAGCGCUACCCAGGACUUUUACUUUGAGGAAAUUAGAGUGUUUCAAGCAGGCAUACGCCUUGAAUACAUUAGCAUGGAAUAAUAAGAUAGGACCUCGGUUCUAUUUUGUUGGUUUCUAGAGCUGAGGUAAUGAUUAAUAGGGAUAGUUGGGGGCAUUCGUAUUUAACUGCCAGAGGUGAAAUUCUUGGAUUUGUUAAAGACGGACUACUGCGAAAGCAUUUGCCAAGGAUGUUUUCAUUGA
rnacentral:rRNA from 1 species